rnacentral:rRNA from 1 species
AACGAACGCUGGCGGCAUGCCUAACACAUGCAAGUCGAACGAGACCUUCGGGUCUAGUGGCGCACGGGUGCGUAACACGUGGGAAUUUGCCUCGGGGUAUGGAAUAACUCAGGGAAACUUGAGCUAAUACCAUAUAAUGUCUUCGGACCAAAGAUUUAUCGCCCUGAGAUAAGCCCGCGUAGGAUUAGCUAGUUGGUGGGGUAAAGGCUCACCAAGGCGACGAUCCUUAGCUGGUCUGAGAGGAUGAUCAGCCACACUGGGACUGAGACACGGCCCAGACUCCUACGGGAGGCAGCAGUGGGGAAUAUUGGACAAUGGGCGAAAGCCUGAUCCAGCAAUGCCGCGUGAGUGAUGAAGGCCUUCGGGUUGUAAAGGUACGUCUUUUACCUUCGGGUACGAGUAAUAGACGGUACCGA